UACGGAGGGGGCAAGCGUUGUUCGGAAUCAUUGGGCGUAAAGGGCGCGUAGGCGGCCGACCAAGUCGGGUGUGAAAUCCCUCGGCUCAACCGAGGAACUGCACUCGAUACUGGUUGGCUCGAGUCCGGGAGGGGAUGGUGGAAUUCCCAGUGUAGCGGUGAAAUGCGUAGAUAUUGGGAAGAACACCGGUGGCGAAGGCGGCUAACUGGUCCAGAUCGUGACGCUGAGGUGCGAAAGCGUGGGGAGCAAAUAGG
rnacentral:rRNA from 1 species